rnacentral:lncRNA from 1 species
GGCGGAUGCAGCUCCGAGGAGGUAGGCAGUGGGAGCCGGCGUUCAGUCCGGCCCGUGCCAACAGUGGUUCCUCUCUCCCCCGUAGUUCGAGGAGACCACGCGCUGCCCCUCUGGCACGAUCGUGGAUGAACCCCCUGGCAACUGAAAUGGGAAAGGCAGCGCCCCCGACUCUGGGGACUGGACCGAAGUCCACGGUAGUGACAGCUGCCAGACCCUGAGGAGAGGACGAGAAGACCCGAGGCCUCUGCUACGAACACUGGCAGCCGAUGGAAAAUUCAGACGGAUUUGGGACAGUAUGCAGAGUUCUCCAAGCGACAGAUUAACAGAGGCUCUUGAAGAAUAACUGCGUAAUCACGUGUUCUGCUCAAAAGAAGGCCUGAAUGCCCAGUGCCUUAUUUGGCUUUCAGGGUAGAUGAUGGGCUCCACGGGAACAGAGCAAACGUUCGCUCCUGCUCCUACACGGUGUUUCCUCUAAACCUGAGGCUCAGCCGACUUGUCAUCACUUAAAACCCAAUUCAGAGCGGGGGGGCACUGCCAGUGAAUAGUUCAUCACCGACUCAGUUUCCCCAUGUGUAUGCUGUGGUAUUGGAUCAGCAACGAGAUAAGAAGAUCUCUCCCAUUUCCAAGCGUCUAUGAUGAUUCUGAGGCACAAGGUCACAUUUGACAGUACUAGGAAACCCAGGAAACAAGAAGCAAAGAUGACAAAGGCUGUGUCUGCCUGGGCAGACGAUCUAUUUGGACAAGAUAAUAGACCCAGGCAUGGACAUGCUCUCCAAGAAAGAUGCCCUGACAGCUGCUCACACUGAAGCUGAAUCGAACAUUCCAAUCCUUAGAGGUUCCAGCGAAGAUCUUGAAGUCUCCCUGAGCCAUUGACACAAUGGCCAUGCC